CCUACGGGAGGCAGCAGUGGGGAAUAUUGGACAAUGGGCGAAAGCCUGAUCCAGCCAUGCCGCGUGUGUGAAGAAGGCCUUCGGGUUGUAAAGCACUUUCAGUGGGGAAGAAAGCCUUGGGGCUAAUACCCUCGAGGAAGGACAUCACCCACAGAAGAAGCACCGGCUAACUCCGUACCAGCAGCCGCGGUAAUACGGAGGGUGCGAGCGUUAAUCGGAAUUACUGGGCGUAAAGCGCGCGUAGGCGGUCUGAUAAGCCGGUUGUGAAAGCCCCGGGCUCAACCUGGGAACGGCAUCCGGAACUGUCAGGCUAGAGUGCAGGAGAGGAAGGUAGAACUCCCGGUGUAGCGGUGAAAUGCGUAGAGAUCGGGAGGAAUACCAGUGGCGAAGGCGGCCUUCUGGACUGACACUGACGCUGAGGUGCGAAAGCGUGGGUAGCAAACAGGAUUAGAUACCCUAGUAGUC
rnacentral:rRNA from 1 species